CAAAAACAAAAAAACAAAAAAAGGGAAAAGGGAAUAGGCUUUGUAAAAAGCAUUAACCAUUCAAAAUUAUGUUUAGCCUUAUUUUUAUUUUUUGCAUUGAAGUUUCUAAUUCCAUUCGAGUACUUAUAUUAUAUUAAUUACCCCACUUUUAUUUUUUUAAAAUUCCCAUUUUGAACAUUUUGUGACCCCAUUUUCACAUAAACCCAAUGGGGCAAUUUCAACACACUAUGAUUAUUCUUUAUAAAUCAUAAGGUUUUUUUUUUUCACUAGGGGGUACUUGCAUGUGGAUAUUUUCUACACUCUACACCCCAUUAUGGGUUGUUCUGGGUGACAGGAGGUGGGGGAUUGCAUGUGGAUAUUAUCUUAGGUGAAUGCAAUGCAUGGAUUAAAAAGGGUUAGAUCACCUGUCUUGGUACAGCUGGUGUAUCAUAGCCUGAGAUGCAAUCUAUAUUAUUGAUGAAUAAAUGAAGUUGUCACAGCACAAUAUAGCUUCAGUUCAAGUGGCCUAGUUUUAGGAGUGCUACUUUUUUUUUUUUUUUUUUUU
rnacentral:misc_RNA from 1 species